CCCUUAGAUGUUCUGGGCCGCACGCGCGCUACACUGAUGCAUUCAACGAGCCUAGCCUUGACCGAGAGGUCCGGGUAAUCUUUGAAACUGCAUCGUGGUGGGGCUAGAUUAUUGCAAUUAUUAAUCUUCAACGAGGAAUGCCUAGUAAGCGUGAUUCAUCAAAUCGCGUUGAUUACGUCCCUGCCCUUUGUACACACCGCCCGUCGCUCCUACCGAUUGAGUGUGUUGGUGAGGAGUUCGGAUUGGCUCUUAGUGGUGGUUCGCCACCACCUAGAGCUGAGAAGUUCUCCAAACCGCCCCACUUAGAGGAAGGAGAAGUCGUAACA
rnacentral:rRNA from 1 species